rnacentral:tRNA from 1 species
GGCUCGGUGGUGUAGUGGUCUAACAUCACGAUGCACCGGACAGGCCCAAGACGCAGGUUCGAAUCUCGCCUGAGCUG